AAAACUCAUCCCUGCACACCCACCCCCAUCUCCACCUCUCCUUCCUGGCUCAGCAGACCCUGCUCUGAGCCACCGCAGUCUACAUCCUGCCUCACUGACUGUGUGUGCUUACAGCGUCAAGGGGUGGACGUGAUAUUUCAAACAUCAGAUCAGUGCGUUUAUAUAUUGGGUGCCCGGAAAUUUUUCCAAAUAAACACAGCUUGAUUCAACUUGGG
rnacentral:lncRNA from 1 species